UACAGAGGUUCCGAGCGUUGUUCGGAUUCACUGGGCGUAAAGGGUGCGUAGGUGGUGAGGUAAGUCGGAUGUGAAAUCUCCGGGCUCAACCCGGAAAUGGCAUUGGAAACUACCUUGCUGGAGGAUUUGAGGGGGGAUUGGAAUACUUGGUGUAGCAGUGAAAUGCGUAGAUAUCAAGUGGAACACCAGUGGCGAAGGCGAAUCCCUGGAAAAUACCUGACACUGAGGCACGAAAGCUAGGGGAGCAAACAGG
rnacentral:rRNA from 1 species